ACACGGACCAAGGAGUCUGACAUGUGUGC
rnacentral:ncRNA from 2 species